AUUUUAAUAGCUUAUUUAGAGCAUAAUAUUGAAGAUAUUAAGGAGGUAAUUGUACUUUAAAAUAUU
rnacentral:tRNA from 3 species